rnacentral:rRNA from 1 species
UACGGAGGGUGCGAGCGCUGUCCGGAAUCACUGGGCGUAAAGGGCGCGUAGGCGGCCUGGCAAGUGGAAGGUGAAAUCCCUCGGCUUAACCGAGGAACUGCCCUCCAAACUGCUUGGCUUGAGUCCGGGAGAGGUGAGUGGAAUUCCCAGUGUAGCGGUGAAAUGCGUAGAUAUUGGGAGGAACACCAGUGGCGAAGGCGGCUCACUGGACCGGAACUGACGCUGAGGCGCGAAAGCGUGGGGAGCAAACGGG